rnacentral:rRNA from 1 species
UACGUAGGGGGCAAGCGUUUGUCCGGAAUCAUUGGGCGUAAAGAGCGUGUAGGCGGCCCGAUAAGUCCGCCGUGAAAGUCCAGGGCUCAACCCUGGAAUGCCGGUGGAAACUGUCGGGCUGGAGUCCGGAAGAGGCGAGUGGAAUUCCUGGUGUAGCGGUGAAAUGCGCAGAUAUCAGGAGGAACACCAAUGGCGAAAGGCAGCUCGCUGGGACGGUACUGACGC